rnacentral:tRNA from 1 species
GGCUGUCACAAAUGGUUUGUACUUGGCUACUAACCAAAUGGUUGGUGGUUUGAAUCCACCCAGCACCA